AAAGGAAUUGACGGGGGCCCGCACAAGCGGUGGAGCAUGUGGAUUAAUUCGAAGCAACGCGAAGAACCUUACCAAGGCUUGACAUCCCUCUGAAUGGAUUGGAAACAGUCCAGGCCUUCGGGACAGAGGAGACAGGUGGUGCAUGGUUGUCGUCAGCUCGUGUCGUGAGAUGUUGGGUUAAGUCCCGCAACGAGCGCAACCCUUAUCUUUAGUAGCCAUCGGGUAAUGCCGGGUACACUAGAGAGACUGCCGUGGAUAACACGGAGGAAGGUGGGGAUGAGGUCAAAUCAUCAUGCCCCUUAUGUCUUGGGCCUCACACGUGCUACAAUGGCUCGUACAGAGUGAAGCAAGGCAGUGAUGCGGAGCAAAACACAAAAACGAGUCUCAGUUCGGAUUGCAGGCUGCAACCCGCCUGCAUGAAGUUGGAAUCGCUAGUAAUCGCGAAUCAGCACGUCGCGGUGAAUACGUUCCCGGGCCUUGUACACACCGCCCGU
rnacentral:rRNA from 1 species